AAGGGCGAGGUUGUAGCUGGUCCCCGAGGGGGCGACGUGCACGCCUCGUUCUCUUCUCUCUCACCCCUGUGCACCUCUGCGUUGGGUCCCGUGCCCACACGUCUUUUUCAUAAAACACACAUGUACUAGAACGUCGCACCUUUUUGUUAUUAUACAACUUUCAACAACGGAUCUCUUGGCUCUCGCAUCGAUGAAGAACGCAGCGAAAUGCGAUAAGUAAUGUGAAUUGCAGAAUUCAGUGAAUCAUCGAAUCUUUGAACGCACCUUGCGCCCCUUGGUAUUCCGAAGGGCACACCUGUUUGAGUAUCGUGAAAUCAUCAACCCUUUUGCUUCGUGUGAAGGGGCUUGGACUUUGGAGGUCUUUGCUGGUCCCCGGGAUCGGCUCCUCUUGAAUGCAUUUAGGUUCCUGCUGUCAGCCCGCCCUUCGGUGUGAUAAUUCAUCCGCAUCGAUCGAGUGUUUGUGAACCAGAGGGACGUUCUCUUUUGAUCUCAAAUCAGGUGGGACUACCCGCUGAACUUAAGCAUAUCAAUAAGCGGAGGAAAAGAAACUAACGAGGAUUCCCCUAGUAACUGCGAGUGAAGCGGGAAAAGCUCAAAUUUGAAAUCUGGCGGUCUCUGGCCGUCCGAGUUGUAGUCUGGAGAAGCGCUUUCCGCGCCGGACCGUGUACAAGUCCUCUGGAACGGGGCGUCGUAGAGGGUGAGAAUCCCGUCUUUGACACGGACCGCCGGUGCUAUGUGAUGUGCUCUCGAAGAGUCGAGUUGUUUGGGAAUGCAGCUCAAAACGGGUGGUGAAUUCCAUCUAAAGCUAAAUAUUGGCGAGAGACCGAUAGCGAACAAGUACCGUGAGGGAAAGAUGAAAAGCACUUUGGAAAGAGAGUUAAACAGUACGUGAAAUUGUUGAAAGGGAAACGCUUG
rnacentral:rRNA from 1 species